GUUGAGGAAAAAAAAUGUUCAGAUCUCAAAAGCCAAAUCUCAUGGACCACACAACAGAUUUGGGCAGGAUCUGGUUCUUCACCCUGCCCAGGCUCUCCACAUGACAGGAGAGUGGAAGCCCAAACCCAGCUGCUGACCGUGGUCUAAGAAAGUCCCCGACCCCAGGAGGUGGAGCCCCCUCCUGCUGUUGAAGCUUGGAGACAGUUGCUUUCCCAGAAUCCCUUGCAGCUAGUUCAUAAUGGACUGGGUUGCCUGUGUUUCGGAGCCUAACAGGAGCGUCUGGAUUCCAGUCCCAUCGGGCCGCAUGGCAGUCACCCAGCAGUGCUCUGGGGUAACAUCUUGGAGGUUCGCCUGUAUUAUAUUCUGCCUUCUACCUGCCAGAGCUGCCGGGAUGUCUGGGGAGCGGGAGAGCAACGCAGACCAGAUGCCCAGGAUCCUACAGCCAGGCUCAGCCCCCAUCACCUCUGAAAGCAGUUUUUGCUCCAUUUGUUGAAUCCAGGUGUGUGACACUCCGAAUGUUAGAAGCUCGUUGUCGUUUUCUUCCUGAAAGUUGCAGGUGUGGGUCCACCACAUGAGGGUGAAGAGAGCAGACCACGCAGACCCGGAGGACGCCGAGCUGACUGUGUAAAAGGGCCCCACUGAGCCCCGUGGAACCACGGUCAUCUUAAAGAAGAAAAAGAGGGGGAG
ensembl:lncRNA